UGCCACCACUCUCCGCGGUUGACGCUCCCCUCAAGGGACCUUUGUAUAAACAAAACUAGUUUUCUGACCAUUAAGUGAUAAUCAAAGAAGGCGUCUCCAUAUGGACGUAAACGACGACUAAAUUCGUCCUCGAGCUGGUUUUGCCCGUAACAAAUAUGAACUAUUGUUUGUAUGCUUUUACCACAAAAAUAUCCAAAAUAUUAAUAUUGGAACGUUCGGGCGUGACUUCUGAAGAACUUCGAUUUAUUGGAAUUUGGCAUACUUUCGUAAAAUUGGAUACACAUGGCAAUUAAUUCACCUGUUGGAUUCACACCCUUUUUUUUACGUUAUACCAACACGGCCGAUGACAAAUUGAUACUUAGUAUUUCUUCUCAUAGAUCGAAAAUGUGAGAAAACAGAUUUACGUACUACAUAGAUUACAGUAUAACGCUUCGUGAUACGUAAACUACAUAAAUAAACAAUUCCCUGCAAGGUCGUCAUGUUCUGCACUUCUAUCUGCGGGGCGAAGAAUUCAGUACAUGACAUUGGCACUAAAACUAAUAAAAACAAUUACCAGCUAGUUCAGCCGACACUCAGUCGAGCGACUUCUAAAAUGUGAUCACGCUCACGUCCUAAUAUUAAGAUUUUGAAUUAUUUUUUUUUCAAUAAAAACGUACAAACAAUAGUUUGCACCGUUGAAUUAUGCCACAAACACUGUUUUUCGAGUGUUCUUCUUGUUUGCCAAAAACCCUUCAACUCUUAUAAUUUUCGAUACUACGGGUUACUGAUAUUAUCACGUAUUUUGGAGACUAUUUCCAACAAUCUCUCGCCUAGAUUUCUUGGUACCUUAUUCAUUUGAAAAAAGUCGCAAUUGUGAAAACAAUGAAGAAAUGUUCUAAACAUAUUGAGCUUUCGCGAAGUUGAACUUCGAAAUACUUAGUAUUUUUAAAACAAUCAGUAACCUUUCCACAUCGUUAUUUCACAGAGCUGAUUUGAGGCGGGUUAGCUCCCCUUAAUAUUGCACCCAUUCUCCUUAUGCCUGCACAUAGUAAUUGACUAUGGUAUUAAUUGUGUCACGCAAUGCUAACAGUACUCACGCCAUCCGCGUAAGAGAACAGCAUCGAGUAUUAUACGUAAAAUUUUCCGACUAACUCGCUGUGCACUGCUGGCAGUAACUGACGGAAACCGCUGGGCAUCAGUCUUGCAGAUUUGCGACAGAGAGCGCGCUACACGAAUUCAAAAACCUUGAAUAAAAUCGAUGCUCACUAUCAUUGAAAACGAUCGAGCCAUACUUUCAAUGCCACAAAUAGACAUCCCAGGGCACAGGUUGAUAUUACUCGAUGGAACACUGACAAUGAUACCGAACGUUGUAUGUACGACAUGUGGGUGAUGGAUCAAUGAAAAAUCAAGUGCGAUUACGCAUUGUGUGAUAAUAUUAUCAUUAUCAGAAUUCAUUAAUGUGAGCCGACCGUAUACCGUGAUUCUGAAUAAUCACCGUGCACCCGCCUUGUUCAAUUCUUCAUCUGAUAAAUUGAGAAGUGAUAGCAAACCAAAUAGAUGCACCAACAAUAAACUAUAAACUAUGUAUCAUAAAGAGAAAACACUUGUUUUUUGCACUUCAUUCACUGAUUUC